rnacentral:lncRNA from 1 species
CACAAAGGAAACAUUGCACAUAUAAAGAAAAACUUCAAGUUUCAUCCAUUCAUUCAUUCAAAAAGAUACAAUGAGUCUAAAAAGCAUACAACAAUCGACAUUCUCAAAAGGAAACUUGAUCAUAUCAUAAGAUACUGACAAACAAAAAGUUCAAAAAGACAAUGCAGCUACAUGCAACCUAAUCUAAGCUAGGAUCAGGAGGGGC